CCCAGACUCCUACGGGAGGCAGCAGUGGGGAAUAUUGGGCAAUGGGCGCAAGCCUGACCCAGCAACGCCGCGUGAAGGAAGAAGGCUUUCGGGUUGUAAACUUCUUUUAUGAGGGACGAAAGAAAUGACGGUACCUCAUGAAUAAGCCACGGCUAACUACGUGCCAGCAGCCGCGGUAAUACGUAGGUGGCAAGCGUUAUCCGGAUUUAUUGGGUGUAAAGGGAGCGUAGACGGCAGGGCAAGCCAGAAGUGAAAACGCAGAGCUUAACUUUGCGACUGCUUUUGGAACUGCCCAGCUAGAGUACAGGAGAGGUAAGUGGAAUUCCUAGUGUAGCGGUGAAAUGCGUAGAUAUUAGGAGGAACACCAGUGGCGAAGGCGGCCUACUGGACGGUGACUGACGCUGAGGCUCGAAAGCGUGGGGAGCAAACAGGAUUAGAUACCCCUGUA
rnacentral:rRNA from 1 species